UACGUAGGGUGCAGGCGUUAAUCGGAAUUACUGGGCGUAAAGCGUGCGCAGGCGGUUUGUUAAGACAGAUGUGAAAUCCCCGGGCUUAACCUGGGAACUGCGUUUGUAACUGGCAAGCUAGAGUGUGGCAGAGGGGGGUGGAAUUCCACGUGUAGCAGUGAAAUGCGUAGAGAUGUGGAGGAACACCGAUGGCGAAGGCAGCCCCCUGGGCUAACACUGACGCUCAUGCACGAAAGCGUGGGGAGCAAACAGG
rnacentral:rRNA from 1 species